AUGAACGCUAGCGACAGGCCUAACACAUGCAAGUCGAGGGGCAGCAUUUUUGAAGCUUGCUUCAAAAGAUGGCGACCGGCGCACGGGUGAGUAACGCGUAUGGAACCAACCCGCAACAGGGGGAUAACCCGGAGAAAUCCGGACUAAUACCGCAUGGUACUCUUUGCACAGAAGUGUGAAGAUUUAAAGAUGCGAAUCGGUUGCGGACGGUCAUGCGUUCCAUUAGCUAGUUGGCGGGGUAACGGCCCACCAAGGCGACGAUGGAUAGGGGUUCUGAGAGGAAGGUCCCCCACACUGGUACUGAGACACGGACCAGACUCCUACGGGAGGCAGCAGUGAGGAAUAUUGGUCAAUGGGCGAGAGCCUGAACCAGCCAAGUCGCGUGAGGGAAGACGGCCCUAUGGGUUGUAAACCUCUUUUAGAUGGGAGUAAAGUGUUCUACGCGUAGGAUAUUGCAAGUACCAUCAGAAUAAGCAUCGGCUAAUUCCGUGCCAGCAGCCGCGGUAAUACGGAAGAUGCGAGCGUUAUCCGGAUUUAUUGGGUUUAAAGGGUGCGUAGGCGGGUGAUUAAGUCAGCGGUGAAAUGCGUCAGCUUAACUGGCGAACUGCCAUUGAAACUGGUUACCUUGAGUGUAGCGGAAGUAUGCGGAAUGCGUGGUGUAGCGGUGAAAUGCAUAGAUAUCACGCAGAACUCCGAUUGCGAAGGCAGCAUACCAUACUAUAACUGACGCUGAAGCACGAAAGCGUGGGUAUCGAACAGGAUUAGAUACCCUGGUAGUCCACGCAGUAAACGAUGAAUACUCACCGUUUGCGAUAUAAUGUAAGCGGUAAAGCGAAAGCGUUAAGUAUUCCACCUGGGGAGUACGCCGGCAACGGUGAAACUCAAAGGAAUUGACGGGGGCCCGCACAAGCGGAGGAACAUGUGGUUUAAUUCGAUGAUACGCGAGGAACCUUACCCAGGCUCGAACGGCAGCUGAAUUGAGUAGAGAUAUUCAAGUCUUCGGACAGCUGUCGAGGUGCUGCAUGGUUGUCGUCAGCUCGUGCCGUGAGGUGUCGGCUUAAGUGCCAUAACGAGCGCAACCCUUAUUGAUAGUUACUAACAGGUUAAGCUGAGGACUCUAUCGAGACUGCCGGCGUAAGCCGUGAGGAAGGUGGGGAUGACGUCAAAUCAGCACGGCCCUUACGUCCGGGGCGACACACGUGUUACAAUGGCAGGGACAGAGAGCAGCCAGGCGGCGACGCCGCGCGAAUCUCCAAACCCUGUCUCAGUUCGGAUUGGAGUCUGCAACUCGACUCCAUGAAGCUGGAUUCGCUAGUAAUCGCGCAUCAGCCAUGGCGCGGUGAAUACGUUCCCGGGCCUUGUACACACCGCCCGUCAAGCCAUGGAAGCCGGGAGUACCUGAAGUAUGCAACCGCGAGGAGCGUCCUAGGGUAAAAUCGGUAACUGGGGCU
rnacentral:rRNA from 1 species